UACGGAGGAUGCAAGCGUUAUCCGGAUUUAUUGGGUUUAAAGGGUGCGCAGGUUGUUUGAUAAGUCAGUGGUGAAAGUCUGUCGCUUAACGGUAGGAUUGCCAUUGAUACUGUUAGACUUGAAUAUGGAUGAGGUAGGCGGAAUGUGUAGUGUAGCAGUGAAAUGCAUAGAUAUUACACAGAACACCGAUUGCGAAGGCAGCUUACUAAUCCAUCAUUGACGCUGAGGCACGAAAGCGUGGGGAUCAAACAGGA
rnacentral:rRNA from 1 species